rnacentral:tRNA from 1 species
AAUUUAGUAGCUUACCUCAAAGCAUUCCAUUGAAAAUGGGAAAGAUAGUGUUUUACUCUAAAUUA